UGUUUCGCUAGGAGAUCGAGACCACCAGCCUACGAAUCUGGGGGUCAGAGGUUCGAAUCCUUUCGGGCGCGCCA
rnacentral:tRNA from 1 species